rnacentral:rRNA from 1 species
GUCCACGCUGUAAACGAUGAUCACUAGACGUUGGCUCUGUUUUAACGGGGUCAGUGUCGUAGCUAACGCGGUAAGUGAUCCGCCUGGGGACUACGGUCGCAAGAUUAAAACUCAAAGGAAUUGACGGGGCCCGCACAAGCGGUGGAACAUGUGGUUUAAUUCGACACUACGCGAGGAACCUUACCUAGGCUUGACAUGUAUUCGACAGUUGUAGAAAUACGAUCUUCUGGGCUUCGGUCCAGACGGAUACACAGGUGCUGCAUGGCUGUCGU